GUGAACGCUGGCGGUAGGCCUAACCCAUGCCAGUCGAACGGCAGCACAGUAAGAGCUUGCUCUUACGGGUGGCGAGUGGCGGACGGGUGAGGAGUACAUCGGAAUCUACUUUUUCGUGGGGGAUAACGUAGGGAAACUUACGCUAAUACCGCAUACGACCUACGGGUGAAAGCAGGGGAUCUUCGGACCUUGCGCGAUUGAAUGAGCCGAUGUCGGAUUAGCUAGUUGGCGGGGUAAAGGCCCACCAAGGCGACGAUCCGUAGCUGGUCUGAGAGGAUGAUCAGCCACACUGGAACUGAGACACGGUCCAGACUCCUACGGGAGGCAGCAGUGGGGAAUAUUGGACAAAGGGCGCAAGCCUGAUCCAGCCAUACCGCGUGGGUGAAGAAGGCCUUCGGGUUGUAAAGCCCUUUUGUUGGGAAAGAAAAGCAGCAGGUUAAUACCCCGCUGUUCUGACGGUACCCAAAGAAUAAGCACCGGCUAACUUCGUG
rnacentral:rRNA from 1 species